GCAGCCGCCACGGUAAUACAGAGGGUGCGAGCGUUAAUCGGAUUUACUGGGCGUAAAGCGUGCGUAGGCGGCUUCUUAAGUCGGAUGUGAAAUCCCUGAGCUUAACUUAGGAAUUGCAUUCGAUACUGGGAAGCUAGAGUAUGGGAGAGGAUGGUAGAAUUCCAGGUGUAGCGGUGAAAUGCGUAGAGAUCUGGAGGAAUACCGAUGGCGAAGGCAGCCAUCUGGCCUAAUACUGACGCUGAGGUACGAAAGCAUGGGGAGCAAACAGGAUUAGAUACCCCUGUAGUCCCUGUCUCUUAUAC
rnacentral:rRNA from 1 species